rnacentral:lncRNA from 1 species
GUCUGUGUUAGAAACUGACAGAAGGGGCCACUACAGAAGGGAUGAAGUCAGCUGAGUAUGGUACACCUUCUGCAUCAGGGCCAGUGUAACUCCAAAGAGAACCAAGAGCCGUCUUGAUCACCAAUGAAGGCCAAAGUUUGGGUGAAAAGCUCCCAUUUUAAAGAAAAGCAGUGCAAAAUUGUGAGCUCUGAAUCGUCACUGUUGUUCUACAUCCUGAGGAUCGGUUUGAGACAUUGAAAACUGCCCAACUACACAUUUGAGCUGUGUCUGCAAUUGUGUAAUUUACUUAGGGUGCCACUGCUGAAAGCAUCUUAAUUGCUUGGUUUGUUUUGCCUUACCUCCUCACCUUUUCUCUUACCUUCUUUGCCGUGGUUCUGUCUGGUUACCGAGCAUGCUGUUCCCAUGAGUUCAAGCUCCUUUUUUUUUUUUUUUCAGUGUUCUUGUUAAACAGCACACAUAUUUAUAAAGUUAGGACUUCAGAGAAACUUCACAGUGCCUAAUACUGCAUAUUUAACAAUGAGACUUUAACUACCCACUUUGAAAGCCAUGGCAUACCAUUUAUGAAAACGAAUCCUGUGGACCUCUUUCAGGUUAGUAGCCUAUCCGGACAUUAAUUAGAUUAAGAUGUUAUCAUAUCUUUUUACUUUGAAAUGUUAGUUUUCACUUCCAGAACUCAGCCAUAUUAUGUGUCUCUGCCUAGUUUUUAGACUACUUUACAGCCCAAUUCAAAUUUGGGAUUCAAACUUACUUCCUCAUAAUGUCUGCCUUGCUAUUAACGCCACAUCACUCUAGCUCUCUUUUAUGUGUUGUUAACAAUUCUGGAUCCAACUGAGUCUCUGUCACUUUACCUUGGUUGGCAUCUUUAUGGCAAUAGUGCAAAUAUCCAUUCACCUGGGAGAAAAUGUUCUCUUUUUUCCACAUUUCCCUUUUAGAAUCCCCAGUUGCAGAUAGUACUCAGUAGAAUUACUCAAAGCAGUCCUCUUUUUCUUUAAUGCAGUCCUCUUAUAUACUUUACAUGUUCCUCUGUGUUAAAUACAAAGAGCAGUUUGCUUCUUCCAUUUAUUAAGUAGCUACAAUUUGCCAGACGUCAUGAAGGAACCU